GGCAGAAGUUGAUGGUGUGUGUCUGGGGUCACUUCCCAGGAGCUGUGACAGAGAAAGACGGACUUCUGAAAUAGCAAACAGACGUCAAAAAUACAUACACUGGGAAAGGCCUACGCACCAUGCAUGCACCUGGUGCACACAGAAGCCAGAAGAGGACAUUGGAUCCCCUGGAGCUAAAGUUACAGAAGGUUGUGGACCACCAGUUGAGUGUAGAGAAUCAAACCUUGGUCCUGUGGAUGAUGAGCCAGAGCUCUUAACCACUGAGUCACUGCCCCAGCCCUAAUUUCUUUUCUGGAUAUUUGUGAUUACAUAACCUGGCAAAAGAACCUAAUAGAGAAGAAAGAAGCUUAUUCGAAUUCUCAGCUCAAGGCCACAGUUCAUGAAGGUAAGGAAACCAAAGGAGCUGGAGCUUAGACCCUAUUGCCUCCACAGUCAAGCACCAGAGGGGGACGAAGGCAUGUUGCUGCUCAGCUCCCCUUUGCCACUACGUCAUCAGGGACCCCACUCAGAAGAUGGUUCCACUCUCAGUGGGCUGGUCCUCUUAACUCAGUUCCUAAUCAAGAUAGUCCUAGGCAGCUGUGCUCAGAGAUCUGUCCUCCAGGUGACUCUGGAUUCUCUCAAGCUGACAAUCAGUACUAAACCACCACGAACAGACAUGGGCAGAGCAUGGAGUUAGGCAGGCUGAAAGUUGAAUCUGCCUUCAGUGCCAAGUCUCAGAAAAUUGCUUGUUCCCUUUGCCUUGUAAACAGCAUCCAGUUCUCAAGGCUUAUGAAGAAAUUGCAUGCUGCAAAGCAAUUUUACAUAACAUCCUAGUGCAAAGUGAAACUUAUUAAACAAGAGUUAAGUUGACUGUUUAAAGCACAGUUGAAGGAGUUCUUAUUAAAUUUAAGCUGCAUUGAAUGUACAUGAAUUCCUGGCAAUCAGAAAACCCGGAACAUCCAACAAAUACAACAAUAGGGGCCAUCGAUUUAAAACAGUUCUGAAGUUUGCAAAUGUUGACUUGUUUACUUCAUGUGUGUACUGUGCAAUAGAAAAAUAUUAUUUCUGGUUUCAAAAUAGUCUGGCUCAAGUCAGAGCGAUUAUAAGGCUUGUGAAAGUCUGCUGAAAUUGAACCCCAGUAGUAAGUUUACAUUGCUACUUAUGCCUUAGUUCAUAUUUUACUAUGUUCCCUUGUCAGUCAGCUAGGAGAGAAGUGUGGGUGGCCAUGGCCUUAUACUGGGUAUAUUUUGAAAUAUGUAGGAAAUAUUUUAGGAAAGCUUGAGAAAAAUUCUGCAAUACCUUGGACAAAGGGGGAAAAAUAUCAGCUGAUUCUAUAGCUCUAGGAAGGAACAAGAGAGGUCUGGCAACCUAGGACUGGUUACAACAUGUGUGGUAUCCUAGUGUGGGACAACACAAGGACUCCUUGGGAUGCUCAAAGGACAUCCUCAGUGCAUUGGUGGAGGACACAUAUUCUGAUAGCUCAAAAGCCAAUCCUUUCUGCCUACUCUUCAGUUUCACAACAAAAGCAAAGAUAUGACACAAGUUCAUCUAGCUGUUCGGUUUUGUAUCUCAAAUGAAACUAAUUAGCACAGAGGUGGAACAUGCUAGAAUGGUCUUAUGGUAAUCAAGAAGAAGCGCACAGUACAUACUGCACAUUGCAAGCUCUCUAUCUAAGGUCACUAUACAAUGUCUACCCAACAUUCACAGACACCAGCACACAAAGAAGACAGGUAACUACAAGAGUAAAGGACAUGUUCAGGUUAAGUAAGAGCAACUGACCUAAGAGCAAAGGAUGAAAAGCCUUCCAGGGAAAGCACACAGUGAGGUGGGGAUGAUUAGAUUAAUCAGAGGCACACGGAGGGCUUCAGGUAUAAGAUAACUGAAUGCCAGGGAAGCAUGAAAAUGAGC